rnacentral:rRNA from 1 species
AGAGUUGAUCCUGGCUCAGAUUGAACGCUGGCGGCAUGCCUUACACAUGCAAGUCGAACGGCAGCACGGGAGCAAUCCUGGUGGCGAGUGGCGAACGGGUGAGUAAAGCAUCGGAACGUGCCCAGUCGUGGGGGAUAACGUAGCGAAAGCUACGCUAAUACCGCAUACGAUCUGUGGAUGAAAGCGGGGGACCGUAAGGCCUCGCGCGAUUGGAGCGGCCGAUGUCAGAUUAGGUAGUUGGUGGGGUAAAGGCUCACCAAGCCGACGAUCUGUAGCUGGUCUGAGAGGACGACCAGCCACACUGGGACUGAGACACGGCCCAGACUCCUACGGGAGGCAGCAGUGGGGAAUUUUGGACAAUGGGCGCAAGCCUGAUCCAGCAAUGCCGCGUGCAGGAUGAAGGCCUUCGGGUUGUAAACUGCUUUUGUACGGAGCGAAAAGGCUUCCACUAAUACUGGGGGCUCAUGACGGUACCGUAAGAAUAAGCACCGGCUAACUACGUGCCAGCAGCCGCGGUAAUACGUAGGGUGCAAGCGUUAAUCGGAAUUACUGGGCGUAAAGCGUGCGCAGGCGGUCUUGUAAGACAGGUGUGAAAUCCCCGGGCUUAACCUGGGAACUGCACUUGUGACUGCAAGGCUGGAGUACGGCAGAGGGGGAUGGAAUUCCGCGUGUAGCAGUGAAAUGCGUAGAUAUGCGGAGGAACACCGAUGGCGAAGGCAAUCCCCUGGGCCUGUACUGACGCUCAUGCACGAAAGCGUGGGGAGCAAACAGGAUUAGAUACCCUGGUAGUCCACGCCCUAAACGAUGUCAACUGGUUGUUGGGUCUUCACUGACUCAGUAACGAAGCUAACGCGUGAAGUUGACCGCCUGGGGAGUACGGCCGCAAGGGUGAAAACUCAAGGAAUUGACGGGGACCCGCACAGCGGUGGAUGAUGUGGUUUAAUUCGAUGCAACGCGAAAAACCUUACCCACCUUUGACAUGUACGGAAUCCUUUAGAGAUAGAGGAGUGCUCGAAAGAGAGCCGUAACACAGGUGCUGCAUGGCUGUCGUCAGCUCGUGUCGUGAGAUGUUGGGUUAAGUCCCGCAACGAGCGCAACCCUUGUCAUUAGUUGCUACGAAAGGGCACUCUAAUGAGACUGCCGGUGACAAACCGGAGGAAGGUGGGGAUGACGUCAAGUCCUCAUGGCCCUUAUAGGUGGGGCUACACACGUCAUACAAUGGCUGGUACAAAGGGUUGCCAACCCGCGAGGGGGAGCUAAUCCCAUAAAGCCAGUCGUAGUCCGGAUCGCAGUCUGCAACUCGACUGCGUGAAGUCGGAAUCGCUAGUAAUCGUGGAUCAGAAUGUCACGGUGAAUACGUUCCCGGGUCUUGUACACACCGCCCGUCACACCAUGGGAGCGGGUUCUGCCAGAAGUAGUUAGCCUAACCGCAAGGAGGGCGAUUACCACGGCAGGGUUCGUGACUGGGGUGAAGUCGUAACAAGGUAACC